CAACUUAUAAGAAAUUGAAAGUAGCUUUUAUAAAAACAAAAUUAAACACAAAGCCAUUCCGUGGCCAUCCUUAAAAGGAAGAAGCAGCCAUACUCAUUUUAUUUCCAAGCCGUGCCAAGAGAAAGAGAGAACAAGGGAAUAUAGAAUUAGCAACUAUUCUUCUCACAAAAUAAAAAUUUUCAAGGUAUGAUCACUUUCUUAGUAACUAAUGAAAAUUACAGUUUAUAAUAUAGUAUAGUGCUAUGUUGGUUGUGGUUGAGCUGUGUGUGUGAAACUUGUUUUUAAAACUGAUGCACAUGUGGUGUUUGAUUUAAGGCCUCUUAGAGACUAAAAAGCUCAAAUUGGGCAACUAGUGGACUGUUUUAGAUCAAUUUGUGUUGUGCUCUGAAACUGAAAAAUUUAGUUCCGGGAUGAUGUGUGGUACUCUUAUGAGUUAUGAACACAACCCAAUUGGAAUGAGGGAAAAAUCCGUUGUAACGAAAUCAUAACGAAUUUCUUAGUAAAACAUGUAAAACAAACUAGUUAAAACUGUUUUUGGGGACUGUUCUUGAGCCAAAAUUUAUGAGGGUAUAGAACUGAAAAUUUAAGUUUUUGUAAUGGUGGGUUGGGCUCCUACGAGUUCUGGAAAUAAUCCAAUUGGAAUGAACCAAAAAGGAGCUAAAACGAAUUUAUAAUAAAGGCUUUAGUAAAACAUGUUUGAAAUCAAAAAAAUUGUGAACUGCUGACCUAAAGGGACAAAUUCGGGGCAAGCUAGAGUUUCCAGAAAAUUCGGGGCUUUUGGGAUAUUAUAGUAAAUUGAAUAAGCUUUCCAUGGACACCGGAACGGACUAAUUCCGACUUUGGAGGAGGGAGUUAUGGCAUUCCAAAGUGGGUGUGUCGAAUCUGUCCAAAAAUUUAGAAAUCAAAUUUGAACCUGUCCCUUGCGCGAAUUUUCUGGAAUUAUGGGUGCAGAGCAUGGAAAAGGUUAUUGAAUAAGAGUUGUAGCCCUGGAAGUUAGCUUCGCGUGGGCAGAAGAAUCACUCAAAAAUGUUUGAAAACGAAUUAGUUAUGACUAUUUUAGCGAGAGAGGGUAAAGCUGGAAAAAAUUAAAAACAGUUGCGACCAAACAUUUUUGGGGUUUGUUUUGGACUGCUUAUGAUGUCCAAAAUAGGUGGAUUAUAUUUUCUAAAUAUAGCCUAAUAUGGUGUCAAAAAUAUAUCUAAAAUUGGUUGUAAUCGAAGUUAUGAGCUAAAAGAUAUGAAAUUGUAACGAAGCCAUGCGGCGUAAGGAACUGCUGCCCAUGGCAGCAGCAGUAUCAGUACUCGGCAGAGGCUAGGGUUUCUUUUGAGUUCUCAGUCAAUGCAUUUAUAUUACUUGAAUUGUUGAGCUUGUAUUUUUCUAAAAAUAGGCAAGUGUAUCACCUAUAUAAUACCCAAGAUUCAGCGCAAUUGAACGGAUAAAUUAGGAUAUAAAAAUCCACGAAAAGAGUGUCUAGGAGGAAGGGGCCUGUUGCUAAUGGCAGCAGCAGUCAGUAGCACGAAGCAGAAAGCAGUUUGACAUGCAUUUUUUUAGCUUGUUUGUGUACCCAUGAAGUUAGUUUAUAAGUUAGUUAAAAGACGGGUAUAUAACCUACAACACAGCCAAAGCUUAAUAGAAUUUGAAUUAACGAGUUGAGAAUGGUAAAAUAACAAAGUGAGCGUCGCAAGCUCGGGAAGGUUGUUUAGCCAAACAAGGUCAGACCAUGGGGCUGUUAUUGCUUCAAGUAGCAUUGUUUGGAAACGCAAUGGUUUUUAAUAAAACAGUUCACAAAGAUGAGUAUAUAAUGUAACUUGGAAGCUAUAAUUUAUCAUAUAGAUUAUAAGUACACUCAAUAUAUGAUAUUAAGCUAAGAAUCUAUUUUAUAUACUUAAGUCAAGUAUGAAAGUAUAAAAAUACCAAUAUAUUGGUCUGUGAAUAAUUUAGAAAUCGAAAUCGUAGAAUAUUUAUAUUCAAAGGUCAUGACAAGAGAUAUUAAAGCGAAAAAUGAUUUUCAUUAGUAAAAGGAUUAAAGAGUUGGAAAGUAUAUAAAAGUUUUUCUAAAACAACAAGGUAAGCUAGCACUACAAGAAAAAGGCCUAUCUACGUGAAAGUGAUGUGGUCAAUAUGGAUAUUUAAUAUAUAAUUGUACAAGUUAUAUAUAUAUAUAUGUUAUGGAUAUGUGGUUAAUACAUUCAUGUAUGUGAAUAUAAUUAUUAGAAGUUGUGAAAGGAAGUUAAGUAUGUCCCGAUGCACCAAGACAGAUAUAAAACGCAGUCUAGCAAUCAUAUGACGCGUAUAUCCAUUCAGAUCAUUCUAAAAGCUAUAAAAGCGAUAAGUAAACAUAAGUUUACAUAUAUACGUAUAAUACAUCCAUAUAUCGGGAAUACGUGGACAGUGUGCAAAGCUAUUUUAAAACUGUAAUUUAAACUAAGUGGUUUUUGAAAUACAAAGCAAGAAUUAUGCAAACGGAGUUGAAAACUGAAUGUUUGACAUAAAUAAGCUAUGUGUAGGUAUAAGACAUACAAAUAACAUAUGUCUACCUACAAAUCAAGCAAAUGAGGAAAUGUUUGACAUUAUAAGAGAGGCGUAUAUGUAAAUGCAUAUAUAUACCUCAUGUGUACAUGAAAGGGGGAAAAGAAAUGUAAUAUGAAUGCAUUAAGCCUAGAAAACUAAUAUUCGUGCGGAAUAUCAUUUAAAUUACUCACAAAAGCGAAAAUGUUAUAAUUACGCAAAAUAAAGGCACAUAUGCACUAUAUGACUAUAAGUCUACAUAUUGAUACGUGUAAAGUCUGUAAAUGCAUUAUAAAAGGGUUAUAAACUGUAAAUGUAAUGAAUUGACAUUUUAAAAGUCGUGUUGGAACUUUUUGAGAAUGUAUGGCUAUAUUAAGCCGAAACCUAAAAAAUUCAAGAGGAAUAUGGAGGUUUCUUGGAAAUAAGAAUAUCAGAUAUUGAUAUAGUUUAUGUGAAUAUUUAUUAACCAUACAGGUUAUGAGAUAUGAAUGUGUGACUAAUGUAUGCAUACAUGUGAACAUAACUGUGUAGGAUUCGUGAAGUGAAGUAAACUAAAGUUUGUAUCAAUGGUCAUUGAACGAGGCAAGUUUUUCAGUUCUAUUAUGUUUGUGGAUUAAAUGUGAUUAUGUGAUGAGUUACAUACCAUGCUUCAUGAAUUGUUAAAUUCAAAAUAUGACUAAGUUAAUUGGAUUAUGGAACUCAAUUUAUAUGUGAUAUGUGAUAACACAUGUUGUUAUGAUGUAACUCAAUAAAUUAGAAAUGCAUAAUGCAUGAAUGUAUGCUUUGUAAGAAAUUAUUGAUGCAUGUAGGAUAUGCAUAGUAAAGAAUAUAUGUUGCAUGCAGAUAUGCAUAGUAAAGGAAAUGUAGUGCAUAUGGAAUUGUGUGCUAUGUGAAACAUGAUAGACUGUUAAAUUUGCUGGGCUGUCAAGCUCAAUCUUGCAAACACAAACUUUUUUCAGGUUAAUGAUGUUAAGCAAUAUUACUUGCUAUACGGAUGAUGAAGAUUGAACGAUGUGCAAAAUAAAGACGUUUCCUUGAAUUAGAAAUGUUGUAAAUCUAUGAUUGAUAUUUUUGUUAAAUGUAAUUGGCCGUUAUGUAUAUUUUGAAAUGUUGAAUGUAUAAAGAAUGUUUAUUAUAAAAUGAGAAUAAAUAUGAUUCUGAAAUAAGUGAAUCAUCGACAUAAAAGAUAUAAAGUAUUGAGACUUAAGUUUUUAAUACGUUUACUCAGAUAAUACAAAUCAUAAAAUAGAUAUGAUUUUUGUAUAAAGAAGAAUCGUAAAAGUUGUGAUUCAGGGAACGAUGAAUGACAGGAAAAUAAAAAAAAAAUCAUUCUGCAUUUUUAGCUAUUUUAACAUUGAAUAAUGUUUUAAAGCUAGAACAAGAUAAUAUUAACGUACAAGAUCGGGGAGAGAAAUUGUCCCGAUUUUAGGGGCGUCACAGUUGGUAUCAAAGUUAUAGGUUAUAAACCUUAGGUAGGUGUACCCUAGGCUAUAACUGCAAAGAUUAGGAUAAAGAAUAAACUCAAAUAGAGUUUAAUUUGUUAAGAGAUGAAUUUGAGAAAUUCAUUAUUAAGUAAAUAAGAUUCAAAGAAGAAUCUUGAAAAGUUAUAAAGAUCCAGAGUUACCUAACUCUGAUAUUAAAGAUAAAAAGUAAUAAUGAAUAGAUAGAGUCUAUAAGACUAAAAGAAUAAAGGGAAAGGAUAUCGUAAAAUAAAACGAUCAUAGAAUAGAAAAGAAUCGUAAUAUAAUAUGAUUAUAAUAAGAGAUCACAACGUGAUCUGAUAAGGUCAUAGCAGGAAAGAUGUAAUAUAAUACGAUUAUAUAUAAUAAGAGAUCACAACGGCUGGUUUAGGCUAAUUAAAAAUAGUAAAUGACUUUUAAAAAUUUUAGGAAAAAUAUAUGUUCAUAAGGGAGUUGCAAUCUGUCAAAUCCCAGAAAAGAAACAAUUAUGGAUCUGUUUUGGCAAUUUUCAUGUAAAUGGUUGAUUUAUGUGUAAAUAUGUUUAAAAUGUAAUGUAAUGUUAAAAAGGGUCAAAAGGUAAUAUUCGGACCAAAUAUCAUUGAUAUGAAGAAAUCAAAUUUUUAGAGGGUAGUUUGGUCAUUUUUGAUAAAAUGAUGUAAUUAUAUCAUUUUAGGGUUAUUAAAUAAGAGAAUUAAUAAAGGGUAAACAAUUAAAAUAAAUUGUUUAUUUGUUUAAAUAAAUGAAUAAAAUAUUAUUAUAAGAUUAAUAAUAUUAUAUUAAGAUGUUAUUAAGUAAUGAAUAAUAUUUAAAUUAAAAGUUGAAUUAAAACAUUAUUAAGUGAUUAAUAAUGUUAUAUUAAAGCAUUAAUAAAUGAUUAAAAUAUUAUUAAAUAACUAAUAAUAUUAAAUUAAAAUAUAAUUAAUAAUAUUAUAUUACAAUAUUAUUACAAAGUUAAUAAUAUUAGAUUAAGAUAUUAUUAGAUAAUUAAAAUAUUAUUAAAUGAUUAAUAAUAUUCAAAAUUAAAAAAAAUAUUAUUAAAGGAUUAAUAAUAUUAGUUGAAGAUUAAAAUAUUAUUAAAUGGUUAAUAAUAUUAGUAAAGGGAUACAAUAUUAUUAAAUGAAUAAUAAUAUUAGAUUAAAAUAUUAUUAAUAUAAUUAAUAAUAUUAGAAUAAAAUAUUAAAUGACUAAUAAUAUUCGAUUAAAAUAUUAUUAAAUAAUUAAUAAUAUUAGAUAAUGAUUAAAAUAUUAUUAAAUAAUUAAUAAUAUUAGAUAUUGAUUAAAAUAUUAUUAAAAUGAUUAAUAAUAUUAGGAAAUGAUUUGAAUAUUAUUAAUUGAUUAAUAAUAUUAGUAAGUGAUUAAAAUAUUAUUAAAGGAUUAAUAAUAUUUAGAAAUGAUUAAGAUGUUAGUAAGUGAUUAAAAUAUUAUUAAAUGGUUAAUAAUAUUUGUAAGCGAUUAAGAUAUUAUUAAGUGAUUAAUAAUAUUAUACGGAAGUUUUAAAAUGAUGAUUAAAUGAUAGAAAUGUUAUCAAAGAACGAUAAUAUUUUUAAGGAAUUAUCUAAUGUUUGAUUUUGUGACUAAAUGUUAGAUAAUUUAUUUAUAUAGAAAUAGUAUUAUGAGGUAUGACAUGAUAUGCUGAUUGAAAGAUCAAUCUUAUAAAUGAUAGGUCUUUCCAUAAGAGCUUAUAUUAAAUUGUGCAGCAGUAGUCAUCAAACUAGGCAAGUUUCCUGUAAAGACCGGAAAUUUUCAGACAAUUAUAUCUAUAUUUUUACGAAUAAUUUUUUUUUACUUUAUUUUAUUAAUUAUUAUGAAUAUUGGUAUCAGUAAUAAUAUUUUUAAAUAUAUGCGAUAUGGGUUAAGCAGGUUAGUCAAUUUAAUAUUUUUAUAAGUUGACUAAGAAUGAAAGUUAAGAUGGAUAAUGUUUAAAACCUUAAUCCGGAUAUUGAAUAAGGAUUUGAAAAUAAAUACGAUUAUAAUUGUAUUUCAGUAUGAUAAAUAUAUACUGUAUGUGUGUAAUGUUAAUUGUUGAUCAGUUAUUGCGUAGAAUUAGAAAAUCCUAAUGUUAAAUUUCUAAACCCUAAUUUGAAAUCCAAAUAGGAAUUUAAGAAUGAUAAGUAAUUGUGUUUAUAUGAUUAAGGAUAAGUGUUAUUGAUUGUAAACCUAAAUAGGAAAUCCUAAUGUUCAAUUAGGGAAAACCUAAUUGUUAAUUUAGAAAUUUUAAUGAUAAUUAGGAAACCUUAAUCCUAAUUUGCAAGCCCUAAUGUAAUUAGGAAAUCCUAAUUUUCAAUUUAGAAAGCUUAAUUUUCUAUUUUAAACCCUAAUUAGAAAAUCCUAAAUUUAAUUAGCAAAACCUAAGGGUUAGAACCUAAGGGUUAGAUAAGAUUACAAGAAAGUGUGCAAAUCUUUCCAUAAUAUUGGUGAGUCACCAACUUAAGAUCUCACAUGUGCUCAAUAUCUUCCCAAUCAGCCAUCCAUUGCCACCUUGCAUAACUUAGAUUCAUUGCAUCAAAGAUAGAGAGACUAAAGAGAGAGAAAAAUCAAAAACCAAGCCCAUUUGUGAUCUUACACUUGGCCAAACUUUUCUUACUCUCAAGCCACGAAAUCCAUAAGUGAAUCAGUCCCUAGCACCCCAAGAUCAGUUAAGGAAGCCAAGAUUCAAGCUUGUUCAAAGAAAGGUAUAAACCCUAACCAAAAUUUAAUCUUGUAUGCUAAGUUAGAUUGUGUGUUUUUAUGUUUAAUCAUGCAUUAUAAGAUGUUAUUUAGUGAUCCAUGAUGUUAUAUCAUAGAUCCAUAACAUCAAAGUGCUCAAAAAUCAAGUUUUCAAAAAAGUCAAGAACCCUAGAUUUAUGGCCUGACAACCGAAUGUCAGAGGCCACCGUACCAUAGAUCUAGAUCUAUUUAUGAUUUUACUUGUUUAAUGUAUUAGAGUUGUAAUAUGCUAUGAGGGGAGUGGUCUGGAAGUGGAAUCAUGGUUAUAUGAUGUCUAGAUUCCAAGAUAUUAAUGGUCAAAGUGGGUUGACCGGCCAUGACUUUGAGUCUCUGGGUAACCCAGAAUUUACCCAAAUGGGUCUGACAACAUGUUCAUGAGCUCUGAUCUUUCAUGUGUUAUGUGAUUUGAUUGUGUUAGUGUAUCAAAGUUAUACUAUAGUAUAUGGACUAUAGAAUCAUGGCCUUAGAUCACAUAAAUAACAAACAAAAUCAAAGUAGUGGGCAGUCGAAGUAGGUUAACCGAGCACAAUUUGUGUUUUCUGAAAUUUCCAGAAAACUCAAGAACACAGUUUCUGACUAGAUUUGACCAAGCCGGAUCUUGCUCCUGUUAUGUAGUUAAGCUAACCAAGUGUAGUAUAAUUGUUCUUUGACAUGAGGACUACAAGAUCGAACCACUUAAACACCUAAACAAUGACUAGAACUCAGAUUAAUCAUGGCACAAAGUAGCUGUCAAGCACUGCCUGGAUUUUUGGGUAACCCAGAAAGGACCUGACAGCCACUUUGAGCCUUUAGAUCUUGCAUAUGUGUUAUAGUAUGACCUUGAUAGUUGUUGAUACAUGUAGUAUUACAUCAAUACUAUGUGUUCUGUACCUUAACAUGCCAAGAAACAUCAUGAGCUGAGAUUUAUGGUUGGUCAAAUAAGACACCAAGACACUGACUUUGAAUGUUCUUGAGGCUCAAGAACACCUAUAGUGACAGUUUCUGUCGCUAAAGGCUUUAGCGACAGUUUUAUUAAAAUUAAUUAAAUUAAUUUCCAAUAAAUCAUUAAAAAUAGAAAUUAAUUUCUAAAAAAUCCAAAAUGAGUUUUAAAAAUUAUUUUAAGUUAUAAAAAUUAACUUUUGAUAAUUUGACAUAUUUUUCAUUAAUAUUAUUAUUUAUUUGAAUAUUAAUGAUAUUAAAUUUAUUUAAUAAAUGUAUUAAAUAAAUUGGUUAAAAAUGAUUUUAUUAUAUUAAAAAUUAUUUUAAAUGAUAAUAUAGUGUUUAGAAAUAUUUUAAUUUAUAAAAGAUGGCUUUUCAUAUUUUGAGGUAAAUUUCAUUAAUAAUUUAAUAUUAAUGAUAUUAGAUUUAUUUAAUAAUUAUAUUACAUAAAUGGUUUAAAAAUAGUUUUAUUGAUUUAAAAAUCAUUUAAAAAGGAUAUAAAGGAUUUAAAAAUAUUUUAUGUUAUAAUAAAUGACUUUUAAUAUUUUGAUGAAAAAUACAUUAAUAUUUAAAUAUUAAUGGUAAUUAGUUAAAAAUGAUUUUAAAUGUUUUAAAAAUCCUUUAAGGGUAAUAUUAAUGUUUUAAAAAUAUUUUUAGUUAUGAUAAAUAACUUUAAUAUUUUGGCAAUGAUUUCAUUAAUAUUUUAAUAUUAUUUAAAUAUUAAUGAUAAUAGGAUUAUUCAGUAUUUAAAUUAUUUAAAAAUGAUUUCAAUGUUUCAAAAAUCAUGAUAAAUGAUAAUAAUUAUUUGAAAAUUAUUAUAAGCCACUAAGAAUAAUAUGACUGAUAUUUGAAUUAUCUAAAAGAAAAUUGAAGCUUUUAAUUAGAGAGAAACUAUAGAGCGCAAGAAGAAGAGUAUUCCGCUACUUCACUAUUGUAGUAUCCAGUCUUCUACUAAGGUAAGGGGUAUUAUUUCUUUCGUAUUCAUAAAGAAUACUAUUUUUCGUAUUCAUCCUUUAAUAUGUCAGAAUAACCUGUCUAUGCGGAUUACGUACCGUAUGACAGGUGAAAAUCUAUUUACAGUUUUGUAUGUUAUUUCUUUUCAUAUUCUUAAAUCUAAACUUACUAUGGUAAGUAUUGCUUUUAUAAUCCUUGAAAUUAGUGGAAUAUCCUUGAGUUUUGAGCUUCAUCCAGUAUCGUUUCAUUGAAAUAUUGAUCAGAACUCUUUUAUUAAAUAUUAAUAUUUUCACCCGGGAUACUAUUCACGGGUUAUUAUUCACCAGAAUAUUAUUCACUCGGGUAUUCGGGGCACUUUUCAUGUCGGGGUACUAUUAAGAAGUUACUAUUCAUGAGUUACUAUUCACCUAGUUACUAUUCACUCAAAUAUUGUUCACUCGAGUAUUCGGAGCACUUUUCAUAUCGGGGUACUAUUCACGGGGUACUAUUCCCGAAGUACUAUUCACUGAAAAAUUUAUUUCUUUUCUAUCCAAAUUAUUUUUGAUACAUGGAUAUUAUUCUUGAAUUUUACUCCACAAAGCAGUAUCAUGUUGACAAUUUGGACAUUAUUGAAUUCUGGAUAAAUUAAAUUAUAAAUCUUUAAAAAUUUAUCUUUUGCUUUCUUUUAACUGAAUUCUUAUAUCAUUGUCAUCAUCUUCAUGCUUAAAUUAUGAAGAAAAUCAUCUUUAGCUUACGUGCAUAGAUGGACUGGUGAUUGGUAUGUUUAUGUCCAAGGAUCAUUCGGUAUAAUCAUGAACUAUAAUGUUACAAAUGAUAAAAGUCCUCAUUAGCCCUCAGUGCAUUGAUGGACAAUUGUUGGUAUGAUCAUGACCAUUGGUAAUUACACGAAUAUCCUUUCCCCAUAGUGCAUAGAUAAUUCGUGGACGUGAUACUAAUGAAUAUCAUUGGCCCGUAGUGCAGGGAUGAUUCGAUGAUGUGGUUUAUUUAUUAAGCUGAGUCUCAGCGAUAAAAUUGAUGAUAAACUUUUUAAAUUAUAGAAGAUAGUAGAUAUUAUGCUCUACUUGACUCUUCUAAUGGAUUGCUUGUUCCGUUGCAGUUAACCUUGAUGUUUAUUGUAUUUUAUCAGUUUAACACUAUUGAAGGCUAACGAUAAUUUAUUCUGUAUUAUAUUAGUCAUAAUAUUUCUUACUGGGCUAGUUGAGCUCACCCCUUUGCUUUCAUUGUUCUCUUCAAGAAAUGAGAACGUAGCCGGGACUAGUCGGGGAGCGGAGUGAUGGUCCGAGAUGGUUGUUUUAGUAGUCCUCACUAUUUACUGAGAUAAUAAAUGUAAUGAGGAUUGAAUUUGUGUUUGGAUAUUUUCUAUGAGACAAUAUUUGUGUAAAAACUCUCAGCUCAUGUUGUAUAAUUAAGUUUGUAUUUGUAUUCAGUACCAUGUAUUUGGCUACCCAAGAUGGGUGAUGUAUACCUAUUUUGGGGGCGUCACAUUUGGUAUCAGAGCUUAGGGAUAUGAUCCCUGGCUGAGAUGUGAGACUAGAACUAAGAGAGGAGAGACGGGUAAUUCCUUCGCUAAUAUGACCUGCCUAAGUUUAUUUGGUAAUUGGUCGGUUAGAGUAUAGGGAUAAUAUGUGACAUGUCAAUUAACCCUUAUUUUGUGACAGUGUUUGAAAGACAUCUAAAAAUGUUGAGAUAAGCAAUGGAGCACAUGAGACCGUUGAGUCACCGAUGAUCAAUACCCAGGAUAAUGUGCAUCAGGAAGGCAAUAUUCCUCAUGUAAACAACAAUAUCGACCAGAUAAUAAACGAUGGGGUGUUCAGAGGCUUUAUGCAAUUUAUGCAACAAUAGGCGAGAGAGACUUCUGUUCAAAAUGCAGGUGGAAACACUGGCAACUCUCGGAUGGUCACUGCUAAGAAGUUCAAGGAGCUGGGACCACCGAAGUUUUUGGGAAAGCCAGAACCAUUCAAGGCAGAGACAUGGAUAAAGCAGAUCACCAAGAUAUUUAAUGUCUUGGGAUACUCCGAGGAAUAAAAGGUUCCCUUGGCCACCUUCAUGUUGAGAGGAGAGGCAGAUUACUGGUGGGAAUCAGUAAAACGUACUCAACCUGCCGCACUGAAGAUGUCUUGGGAGAAGUUCCAAGAACUGUUCAACGACAAGUAUUUUUCUGAAAGUAUUCGUCACAUGAAGGAAGUGGAAUUCAUCAAGUUGGAACAAAAAAAUAUAACCGUGUCACAGUACGAGGCUAAGUUUGUCGAGUUGUCCCGGUUUGCAUCCCAUUUGGUUGAUAAUGAGGAGCGUAUGACGCGGAUGUUUCUAAGAGGUUUGAAACCUAAAAUACGUUAAUAUCUCAUUUCUCAUGAACUGUGUUUGUAUUCAGAUGUUGUAAAUAGGGCUCAGCUAUUAGAGCGCGAUAAUGAGUCAACCUAACCAAGAGAGAGCAGCCGACAAAAUGAUAAUACUAGUGGUAGUAGUCAUCGAAGCGGUGACAACAAACGUGGAAGUAAUCAACAUGCCAGAAAUGGUAACCACUUCGGUGGUAAUCAUGGCCAAGACAAUAGGAGUGAAAAUUUCAAGAAGAGAAGAUUCAACAAUGAUGGAAAGACGUCAUCACCAUCACCCAUUGAUAAAGAAAGAGAACGACCACCGAUUGUAUGCUUCAAAUGCGGAAGGGAGGGACACAUCAGUCCAAACUGCACGAUGCAGUCUAAAGCGUGUUACAAUUGCAGAAAAGAAGGUCACCUAGCUCGAUUUUGUCAUGCAGUGAAGCCAAGUCCAGUUAGGAUGGUGACACCAAAUGUCAUCCCAGAGAAGUCAAAGUCUGUAGUUCAAGGGAGAGCGUUUGUCGUGACCUCCCAAAAAGCGAGGAACCCGAACGAAGUCAUCACGGGUAAGCUAAUCAUAAACUCUAGCGAAGUCUAUACCUUAUUUGAUACCGGUUCUACCCAUUCUUUUAUUUCUCCUACUUACGCUCAACGUUUAAAUUUAACUCCGGAGAAAUUAGACUUUGACUUAUCUGUUGAAACUCCAUUGGGAGAAACCUUCAUUACAUCCACUAUUUAUAAGUCUUGUUUGAUUCAAAUCGGUAACCGCACGUUACCUGUUGAUCUCAUCUCUUUUAAAAUACUUGCAUUUGAUGUAAUUUUAGGUAUUGAUUGGUUAACUACUCAUCAUGCUAAAAUUGAUUAUUUUUAUAAAGUUGUUAAUUUUCAUAUUCCUAACCAACCUAUUAUGUGAAUUCAAGUAACCAAACCACUAAAGUCAAUUACUGUCGUAUCAAGCCAUAAAGCUAUUCGUUUAUUGAAAAAUGGAUGUCAGGCUUUCUUAGCCCAUAUCAUGGAUUUAAACAAAAAUACGUCAGAUUUGAAUGAUAUUUCUAUUGUUAAUAAAUUUCUUGACGUAUUCCCCGAAGAACUUCCUGGCCUACCCCUGGAGCGUGAAAUCGAGUUUGGUAUUGACCUUGAACCCGAUACAAAACCCAUUUCCAAAGUCCCAUAUUGAAUGGCUCCUAUUGAACUACAGGAAUUGUUAGACAUCGAUUUCAUUCGUCUUAGUACGUCUCCUUAGGGUGCUCCUGUUUUAUUUGUGAAGAAGAAAGAUGGAAGUAUGCGACUUUGUAUUGACUAUCGGGAGUUGAAUCAUGUCACCAUCAAAAAUAGGUACCCGUUGCCUUGCAUUAAUGACCUUUUUGACCAAUUGCAAGGCGCCAAAUUCUUUUCAAAGAGCGAUCUUCAUUCCGGAUAUCAUCAGUUAAAGAUUAAAACCGAUGACAUUCCAAAGACUACUUUCAGAACUCAGUAUGGGCAUUACAAAUUCUUAGUCAUGUCUUUUGGAUUGACUAAUGCUCCUGCUGCUUUCAUGGAUUUGAUGAACCGAGUAUUCAAGGAAUAUUUGGAUCAUUUUGUGGUUGUCUCUAUUGAUGACAUCCUCAUAUACUCCAAAAGUCGUGAAGAUCAUGAGCAACACUUGAGGCUGAUACUCCAAAAGCUUCGUGAAAACAAACUAUAUGUCAAGUUGAAGAAAUGCAAGUUCUAGCUUAAGGAAGUAGCAUUCCUUGGGCACGUGAUAUCAAAUCACGGAAUAUCUGUUGACCCGACAAAGAUUGAAGCAAUUCAAAGCUGGGAGCAACCUAAGUUAGUGACCGAAGUACGUAGCUUUUUUGGGCUUAGCUGGUUAUUAUCGGAGAUUCGUGGAUGGAUUUUCUCGAAUCGCUACUCCAUUAAUUUAGCUGACUCGAAAAGAUACAAAAUUCGUUUGGAGCGAGGAAUAUGAGAAGAGUUUUCAAGAACUUAAGAGGAGGCUCAUUUCAGCACCUGUUCUGACAAUACCAUCUAGUUCAGAGGGAUUUGUCAUCUACAACGAUGCUUCAGGCAGAGGGUUAGGAUGUGUUCUCAUGCAACAUGGAAAAUUCAUAGCCUAUGCCUCAUGAUAACUUAAAGAAUACAAGAGGAAUUAUCCUAAUCAUGAUCUAAAGUUGGCAGCUGUCGUUUUCGCACUUAAAAUCUGGAGGCAUUACCUGUAUGGGGAGAAAGUGGAGAUCUAUACGGAUCAUAAAAGUCUCAAAUAUUUCUUCACCCAAAAGGAACUCAACAUGCGACAACGACGUUGGCUCGAGCUGUUGAAAGAUUACGAUCAUACCAUUCAAUACUAUCCUGGAAAAGUGAACGUAGUAGCUAACGCAUUGAGUAGAAUAUCAUAUGCGAGUACGAGUGCGAUAUUGUAAACGCAAAGGCCCAUUUUGUAUGACUUACAAAGGAUGGAGAUAGAGUUAAAAGACUCUAAGGACCCACGUGAUGAUGGAAAAUAUACGAGUAGAAUCGACUUUAAUUAAUAAAGUUAAAGCUGCUCAAGCUACAGACCCGGAGCUGAUGCGUAUAAGGAAGAAAGUACAAGAAGGUGCUAUCCUAAAAGCAAGAAUCGAUGAAGAAGGAAUACUUCGAGUCAACUCCAGACUUUGUGUUCCUAACGACCCUGAUUUAAAGUAUAAGAUCAUGAUGGAAGCGCGCACAACACACCAUUUACAAUCCAUCCUGGGAGUACCAAAAUAUAUUGUGAUCUUCGACAUACAUUUUGGUGGAGCAAUAUGAAAAGAGAGAUCACGGAGUUUAUCUCAAGGUGUUUAACGUGUCAACGAGUUAAGGUGGAGCAUCAAGUGCCAAAAGGUCCAUUGUAACCACUUGAAAUUCCAGAAUGGAAGUGGGAGCGCAUUACCAUGAAAUUCGUUACUGGUCUUCCCAAGGUUUCUCAAGGCAUAGAUGUGAUUUGGGUCAUUGUUGAUAGAUUGACCAAGUCUGCUCAUUUCUUACUUAUACGAGAAACUUAUUUACUUGAACGUCUUUCUCGUAUUUACAUAAAUGAGAUUGUAAGACUACAUGGUAUGCCAGUAUCCAUAGUUUCUUAUCGAGACCCAAGAUUCACUUCACGAUUUUGGGUUAGUUUGCAAAAAGCUAUGGGCACAUAUUUACGAUUCAGUUCGGCAUAUCAUCCUCAAACGGACGGGUAGUCGGAGAGGAAUAUUCAAACUCUUGAAGAUUUAUUAAGACUCUGUGUCCUUGACUUCAAAGGAAGUUGGGACAAGUUCUUACCAUUGGUGGAAUUCUCCUACAACAACAGUUAUCAAGCAAGUAUUGACAUGGCUCCAUUCGAGGCGUUUUAUGGACGAAAGUGUCGUUCUCUAGUAUGCUGGGAUGAGGUGGGUGAAGCAACGUUGUUGGAACCGGAAUUGAUAUGUAUGACUAUAGAGAAGAUUCAAAUGAUCUGACAACGUAUAAAAAUCUCACAAGAUCGACAAAAGAGUUAUGUUGAUCUUCAUCAAAAGGACGUAGAAUUCAAUGUUGGAGAGCAUGUGUUGUUACGUGUUGCUCCAUGGAAAGGAUUUACAAGAUUUGGAAAGAGAGGAAAGCUUAAUCCUCGAUUCAUUGGCCCAUUCGAAAUCCUCAAUCGAGUAGGAACUAUGGCCUAUAGAUUCGCCUUACUGCCAAGUAUGUCUCGUGUUCAUAACGUUUUUCAUAUAUCUAUGUUACGUAAAUAUGUGAAAGACCCAAAUCACAUUAUUGAAUUAUAAUCGGACGAGAUAGCGGAAGAUUUAACGUUUGAAGAGGUACCUGUUAAAAUCUUAGAUAAGACGGAUCAUAUUCUACUCUCCAAGGUUAUACCUUAAGUCAAAGUUUUGUGGAGAAACCACGAUGUUGAGGAAAUGACCUGGGAGUUAGAAUCUGAAAUGAAAUCAAGGUAUCCUAACCUCUUCGACAUACCAGGUACGUACCCUAAUUUUGAGGACGAAAUUUCAUAAGCAGGGGAGGUUGUAAGACCAUAACUUUUAUGAAUAAAGAUUAAUUUUUUUUAAAAUAUAUUUUUGAAUAUUAUGGUGUAGAUUUGAUACAAUGUUAUAGUUGUGGGUUAUAUUUAUAAAUUUUGCAAAGUAAGCAAGUUGAUAUAAAAUAUUCGAUUGGGCGAGGAAUAUUCGUUUUAACAGGGAAUAUUCGUACGAUGGCAAAAUCAUUGGUGGACCCCACAACAGAAGUAUUGUCAGAGUUAGAAAAUGACAUAAAUGUCUUUUUAUAAAAAUAAUGGCAAAAGUUUUACCGUUAAACUGUUUAAAUACCUGGUGGUAAAAGUACAGUAAUACGCGUACUUGCAUAGUAGCACACAGUAUUGAUUAUUGAUGCUUACGUGAGAAGUCACUCAUUUAUACUCAAUUAUUGCUACAGUAAUUGCUGCAUAAUAUCUCUCAUAUUAUUGAUUCAAUUAUUGUCAUAAUAUCAUCUGCAUAAUAUUUUAUAUUUUUAAAUCAAUAAUUGAGACGAAAAAGUUAUUCAUAUUAUUAUUUGUAAUAUUGACGAUGUCUAGAAAGUUCUGUCAAGGAAAGGGGUUUGGUCACCUAAUUGCGCGCCAAUAGGGAGAAAUCCUAAUCGGAAAGCCUCCUCUUUCCUGGGAAUGAUCUGGUUGUUAAAUACUGUGAGUUAUAAUAUUAAUGAUGAAUAAGUUCGUGUUGAUUAAAGAUGAAAUUGAUAUUUUCAUUAUGUUGGGAUUAUUAGUAUUAGUCGAAAUCGACAUUUAUUUCAAUAAUAAUUGAUUUCUGGAGGUUAAAUUGACCAAUCAGGUAAUUAAUCGGAUAAAUGAGCAAUUAAUUGUUAUUAGUUCACAUUCAUAUAACUAUUUGUUCACAUGAAUGGAACUAUUGAUUCACGUGCAUGUACUAUUGAUUCAUAUACAUGUACUAUUAGGGGAGGUGGUGCAAGUUUGAUAAUACUUUUAUGACUAAAUUAAAAAUAGAGAAAAAGAUGAAGGUACUAUACUGUAAUAAUUUGAGCCCCAAAACGUGCAAUUAUCGAAACUAUGUUUUUCUAUAAAUAGAAGCUCAUUCUUCUUUCAUUCUCACCAAUUCACUAAGACUCACAAGAGCAAUUAUAGAGAGAGAAGCUAUAGAGAGAAAGAAGAAGAGUAUUCUGCUACUUCAUUAUUCCAGUAUCCAGUCUUCUUCUAAGGUAAAAGAUAUUAUUUUUUUCAGUAUUCGUAAGAAAUAAUAUUUUCUUCUAUACUCUGUAGUAUGUGAGUAAUAUUAUUUCGUUUCGUAUUCCUAAUUCUACACUCAUUCUGUUAAAGUAUUACUUCUAUACUCCGUGAAAUUAGUAGAAUAUCCUUAAAAUUUGCGCUUCAUCUAGUAUCGUUUCACAAAGAUAUUUUUCUGAACAUUCUUGUUAAAUUUUAAACUUUUCAUGCCGGAGUACUGUUCACGAAAUACUAUUCACAAAGUACUAUUUAUGGGAUACUAUUCACAAAGUACUAUUUAUAAAGUACUAUUCACGAGGUAUUAUUCACAGAGUACUAUUCUCGAAGUACUAUUCACGAAGUACAAUUCACGGGAUACUAUUCACUCGGGUACUAUUCACCUGGGGUACUAUUCAUGACAAAAAUUAAUUUUUUUUAUGUCCAAAUCAUUUUUGAUACAAUAUUAUUCUUGAAUUUUACUCCACAAAGCAGUAUCAUGUUGUUAAUUUGGACAUUAUUGAAUUCUGGAUAAAUUAAAUUAUAAAUCUUUAAAAAUUUAUCCUUUGCUUUCUUUUAACUGAAUUCUUAUAUCAUUGUCAUCAUCCUCAUGCUUAUAUUGUGAUGAAAGUCAUCUUUAGCUUACGUGCAUAGAUGGACUGAUGAUUGGUAUGUUUAUGAUCAGGGAUCAUUCGGUAUAAUUAUGACCUAUAAUGUUAUAAAUGAUAAAAGUCCUCAUUGGACCGUAGUGCAUUGAUGGACAGAUGUUGGUAUGAUCAUGACCAUUAGUAAUUACAUGAAUAUCCUUGGCCCAUAGUGCAUGGAUAAUUCGCGGACGUGAUACUAAUGAAUAUCCUUGGCCCGUAGUGCAGUGAUGAUUCGAUGAUGUGGUUUAUUUAUUAAGCUGAGUCUCAGCGAUAAAAUUGAUGAUAAACUUUUUAAAUCAUAGAAGAUAGUAGAUAUUAUACUCUACUUGACUCUUCUAAUGGAUUGCUUGUUCCGCUGCAAUUAAACUUGAUGUUUAUUGUAUUUUAUCAGUUUAACACUGUUAAAGGCUAACGAUAAUUUAUUUUGCAUUAUCUUAGUCAUAAUAUUUCUUACUGGGCUAGUUGAGCUCACCCUUUUGCUUUCAUUGUUUUCUUCAGGAAAUGAGAACGUAGCCGGGACUAGUCGGGGAACGGAGUGAUGGUCCGAGAUAGUUGUUUUAGUAGUCCUCACUAUUUAGUGAUAAUAAAUGUAAUGAGGAUUGAAUUUGAGUUUGGAUAUUGUCUAUGAGAUAAUAUUCAUGUAAAAACUCUCAGCUCAUGUUGUAUAAUUAAGUUUGUAUUUGUAUUCAGUACUAUGUAUUUGGCGACCUAAGAUGGGUGAUGUAUACUUAUUUUGGGGGCGUCACAUGAUUCAUGGAAGAAGGUUUUUACUUCUUUUUAACACCAAGAUCCUUCCACGUGCUCCAAUCACCAAAUCGCGUCCAAUCUUGUACAGAAACUAGUAAACACCGAAAGCUUGACGGCUUGGGCUGCCGGGAGAUAGCUCCGAUGUGAGAAUAAGUACAAGUUGAUAAAGGUUAACAAUGGAGGCUUAAAGCUCUAGUGCUAGAAAGUAAUAAUGAAUUAAGUACCUUAAAAUCAAUGAAGUGCCUUGUAUUUAUAAUGAUCUCAGCACCUUCAUGCAAUCCUUCUCCGAAUCAGAUUAAGGUUCCCAGCCAAUGACCAAUCCAUGACAGGAUUGUAUCAAAUCUCCUAUAAUUAAGGAAGUUGAUUCAUAAUCCAACACUUCCUUCGAAAUUCAAAGUCCAAAUACAAUUAGGAACCCCAAUCCAUAAAUCCCCCGUGCACCAAAUCCCGUCUGGGCCCAAACCCGUAUAACUCCACAUAAUUAAUCGCCCACCACACUCUAAAGGCCCAAAUAAACAUGGCCCAAUAUUUCCCCCCAGUCUUCUAUCAAAUAGAAUAUUUGAUGGAAGAGUAUUUAAAAGAUGGCCAAUCAGUAAAGAAGCCCAACACCGGAUACAAAACCAACCCUUCAAAUCCAUCAUCAUUGCCCCCCAUUAAAGUGUCGCCCUUAAGAUUCGUAAACAACUGAAAUGACAAUACUAUAAAAACCCACUUCCCCCAAUUCAUACGGUUUCACCUGCUCAUUUGAAAUUCAAAGAUACUUUCACUUUCUCCUUCCUCCAGCUUUCUCUCUGCAAACUGCAACAAUGGCCUCCCAAAACCCAAAAGACUCCAUCCCCAUUUCGGUAAUUCCUCUUUCCAGCAUUCGUGCUACUCCUAACCCCACAACUACCAUGCUGGAAUCAAAUCCCAACACCGCCCCAUCCUCCAGGAAGAACCCACCAACAACCGACACCCAAAAAACUCCACUUGAAUACCAUAAGGAGGAUCAAUUUCCUCAUGUCAAUACCCCUUUCCAACUCACAGAAGCUGACCUUCUCGUGAUUCUCAAACACUAACAGAUCCCUAAAACCCAUCACUUGAGAACUCCCACAUCCACCGACCAAAUGUACCAUCGCCCCGAUGGCUGGACUGCCAUGCCACUCACCCUUUUGGAAAAAGGGGUUCGCCUACCCCUCCACGCCUUCAUCAUCAACCUUCUAGGGUUCAUGGGCAUCGGACUAGCCCAACUGGUGCCCAAAUCCUACAUCCACAUCCUCGCUUUCAUCGCUUUCUGCCACGAGAUGGGAGUUCCUCCUAGGGGUGAAAACAAGUCGAAUCUCAGCGAACACUCUAAUGCUCAGAUUCGGCUCGACUUGAAAAAAUUGAGCUCGAAUUCGAUAAGGAAUUUCUAAUUUUGUGCCAGAUUCGACUCGGAUCAUUACUCGGAGCUCCUCGGAUCGUAAGUACUCGACUCGUUUACAAAACGAGUUAUCCAUGAGCCUUCAAAUCGAGUUUCGAAUAUGAACCAUUUCGCUUAAUACUGAACCACUACAUACUAAAUUGAUUAUUGAAUUAAUGUUUAUAUAUAAAAGUCUUUUACUUUUAUUUAUGUAAAGAAAUUACAAAGAAUGUAAUACAAAUUGACAAUCAAUUCACUGAUUUAUUCAAGUACAAGCUUACAUAAUUUAAUACUAAACUUUAUAAAUUAUAAAGAUUGAUACAAAUAUCACAUGUUUAGCUUAUUAGUAUAGAUUAGACCAGUAUUCGAAUAUGAUCCAUCGAGCAGGUAUCAAGUAUGGUUCAAAAAAAUAUGAAAUACUCGAACCCUAAUCUGAGCGAAUACUGGUAUACUUGAAUUCGACUCGUGUAUCAUUAAACAGAAAUUGAUUAUGGAUCAUAUUCGACUCGAAUCAACUUUGAAUUCGAGCUUUGGAUCAUAUUUUCGAACCGAUCUCGAGUCGAGUAUAGAGCUACUCUGCUCGGCUAACACCCAUAGUUCCUCCUUCAAUCGACUUCUUCUCCUUAUUCACAAUCGAAAACUCCCGCGAAUGGGGUUUCAAAGUGUUAAGUAAACAAGCCCCAAAACCCAACUCUAAGUUCAAACAAUUCCCACUAAUGGACACCCCCUCGAACAAUAAAGGGUGGCAUAAGGAAUGGUUCUUCGUCACAGGACCAAAGAUUCCCAUGAUCCCAGAAUGGACCUCGCACAAACGUCCCUCCUUGGACUUCAGUGAAAUCACAGAUGAACGUGUGAUAGAGAUGGCAAAGCUUCAUGAGAAACUUCCUCUGAAGGAAUGAAGCUUCGACCUCUUGAGCAAACAGGCAUGGUUGUACGACCAUAAACGUAAGUCCCAAACUCAAUACUUGUAUAACUUUUCAAAUUUCUUUUAGUAAUUAUUCUAAGAAACCCUUCUCUAUCUUCUAUAGUAUCCCUCAUCAAACCAACCUCAAUUGACCGAAGAGAACUCGAAGAAUUCCUCUCUGCCAACUCAACUCAAACUACUACCGAACCCCAAAACACCGAACCUCAAAACACCGAACCCCAAAACACCGAAUCUUAAAACACCGAACCCCAAAACACCAAACCCCAAAACACUGAACCUUAAUACACCGAACCCGAACCAACCCCCGCCGAAGAUUUAACACAACCUCGACUGAAGAAACGAGCCAACAAAAAACAUAAAAACAUCCAUGUCCCUACAUUUAACGAAAGCCUCCUUGACAUACCCAUCGCCGAACACACCCAAAUUCUCUGAACCAAAAAGAAACGAGCCAAAAUCACCCCCCUUACAGCCGAAGAACUUAGAGUACCUCCAACCGAAGCCAACCAAACUCAAAGCACUCCUAUUGAGAUAGACGAAGUCGAUGAACCAACUGAAUCCAUCAUCCCUCCACUUGUAAGAAAAAGAAAACAUACCUUAGACAACCAACCGACCCUAUCAACCAAAAUACCAACAACAACUCACAACCCAACUCCACCCGAACAACCAACACCUCCUCCCGAACAACCUCCCUCCGAAGCCAUACCACACAUAAUCGAGGCUAUUCGCUCGCCCACUUUAUGGCCAGACAACAAUGAAGAAUUCCCUCUACACUUAUAUGACCACUUCGUCCUCGAAAUCAACGACCACCACUUCAAAAAUAGCUCCACAUCUGAACUCAUUCGCGGCGACAUGACCCAUCAAGCCCGGGUAAGCCAAUUAUUAUUCAACCACUUUCAUUGAUGAACAGCUUUUGGAUACCGCAUACUAAACUCUAAACAUCUGCAGAGCCGGCCUUGGCCCAGGGCUACAGCCUUGGGCCCAAAGCUAAAGGGCAAAAAAAAUUACUUUAUAAGCUUAUGUAUAUUGAGGUGUGUAGAUGUUUCAUAAGAUUAUAAAUUAUUGAGGUGUGUAGAUGUUUCAAGUACUCCAAUAAAUAUAGAAUAGUACUUUUAGAGUUUCUGAAUGUGGAAGAUACAUCUGGAUUAGGAAUUUUUAAUGAAUUACAAAAUGUAAUGGAGUCCCUUACACCUAAUAUUGAUAAUGUGAGAGGACAAGGUUAUGAUAAUGGCUCUAAUAUGAAAGGGAAAAAUGUAGGUGUACAAAAAAGACUAAUUGAUAUAAAUCCUAGAGCAUUUUACAUGCCAUGUGGUUCUCAUUGUCUCAACUUAAUAGUUUGUAAUAUGGCCAAGUCAUGUGUUAAAGCAAAAUCUUUUUUUGGAGCAUAUCAAUGCAUAUAUACGGUAUUCUCUAAUUCAACAAAGCGAUGGAAUGUGUUACUUGAUUACAUAGAUGGUUUGACUUUGAAAUCAUUUUCACCAACACGUUGGAAAAGUCAUGUUGAAAGUGUCAAAGCAAUAAAAUCUCAAGCUUCCCAAAUCAAAGAAGCUUUAUUUAAAUUAACAGAAAUUAGUGAAGAUGCCAAAUUGAGUAAGGAUGCUCAAAGUUUAGCAUUAGGAGAGCUUUCAAGUUUUGAAUUUAUAUUAAGUUUGACUAUUUGGCAUGCCAUUUUGCAUAAGAUUAACUUAGUUAGUAAAAAGUUACAAUCUAAAGAAAUGCGUUUUGAUGCUGAUGUAUGAUAAUUAGGACUUGUUUUAUUUUUUGAAAACUAUAGAAUAAAUGAAUUUGUUUCUGCCAUGAUUGAUGCUAAAGAAAUUACCCUUGAUAUGGGAAUUGAGUCUGUAUUUCCAAAAAAAGUCAAAUUUGUAGAAAAAGGCAUUUUGAUGAGGUUUCCAAUAAUGAUAGGGAACAACAAUCAGCUGAAGAAUCAUUUAGAACUGAUUAUUUUCUUGUUAUAGUGGAUAUUGCUCUUGGUGAAUUGAAGAGUAGGUUUGAACAAUUGCAUUGCUUUGAAUCAAUUUUUGGGUUCUUAUUUGAUGUUGCAAAGUUGACUUCGUUUGAUGAUAAUGAAUUGAAAAGUUCUUGUGUGAAUCUUGAAAAUGCUUUAAAACAUGGUGAUGUUUCUGAUGUUGAUGCAAGAGACUUAUUUUCAGAAUUACAGGUGUUUCAAGUGAUGUUACCAAAAGAAGCAUAUGAAACAGAUAAACCAUGGACAUCCAUUAAAAUUCUUGAGUUUGUAAAGAGUGUGGAUAUGUUUCCUAAUGUAAUGGUUACUUAUAGGGUAUUAUUGACUAUACAUGUGACUGUGGCAUCUGCUGAAAGAAGUUUUUCUAAAUUAAAAUUAUUAAAAUCUUACUUACGGACCAUCAUGACUCAAGAUAGGCUAAAUGGAUUUGAGAUAUCACGCAUUGAAAAGGAUAUGUUAAAAAACAUUAAAUAUGAUAGUAUAAUUGAUGAUUUUGCAUCUAAAAGUGCAAUAAAAAGACAUUUUAAAUGAUGUUUUGUGGUUCAGAAUUCAUUUCUAUCUUUUUUUGUAGGUACAUGUGAUGAUUCUUUGCUUCAAUUAAUUGUGGAGGAUGAAAAGAAGAUUGAUCAAAUUAAGAAAUUCUUAUAGAGAUUCGAGAGGAAGCAUGUAGACUCAAAUAUGAAGUUUUCGUUUUUAAUGCAAUGUUUACAAUCCGGG
rnacentral:lncRNA from 1 species